UUGAACUCCAAAUCUGUGUGUUCUUCACAUUUUGGUGUGUGCUUAAAACAACCAGGAUCUAAUUAGAAUGAGUUUAGUACUGUGGUAUAUUUAAAGCGUAGUUUAUCUAAGUUGCUUCAUUUUUCAGAGGUAAGAGCAAAAAAUAUCUCAACUGCUGCUGGGCUUAAUGGAGCCUUUUAUAGCUGAUGACACUUAAUAAAGUAUUUUGGUGUAGUAUGUUUGUAACCCUAUUGAAAAAGAGGGAAAGCAUCAUUUAUAGUCUUAGGUUUGUAAUCCUUGCAAAGGACAAACUAUAUUAUGAUACUUGUGCAAGUAGAUAUGUGGUCAAGGAGUGCUUAAAAAUGAAGUUAUGCAUUAUAGGUGUGUAAAAUGCAGAACUGAAAUAAAUCAGUCUGUUUUCGUUCAAAAGGAGAUCAGGAGAGUGCUCUUGGCAACAAUGCCCAGCCCAGGACCUCGUGAUUAGAUAACUUUGCUGGGAAAAAAGAAACGCAUUAAACCCCUCUGAGUGAGGGGGCAGUAGAACCCAGAUCUCCUACCCUUUCCAAUAAGCUGUUUAGCUAAAUAUUGGGAAGGUAGCCCUCCUCCUCUGUUAUUUUACCUCUGGCAAGUAUGCCACACAUGCUUUUCUACAGGUAGAAGUAGAAUCCAAGCUAUGCAUAGGGCUAGGAAAGGACAUCAUAUCCGAAACUGGACAAGUUAUGCCUGUGUUUGUCUUGAAACACAGAAAGUUAAAAUAAUAUCAGCAAUGCCCUGUAGCUGCUUGGCUCUCUGGCUCUCCAGUGGCUCCCCACUUACCUGCCCCACCCUCUACCCGUGCUUCCCCAGCAGCUCCCCACUCACCUGCUUCCCUCAUCCCGCACCCACUGCCUGGCUCUCUUGUCAAUGCAGGGCAGUAGAGUUCCAGAUGAUAGAUCAUCUGAUUGGGGGCGGGGGGGCAGAAAUCUGGGAACAGUGCAUCCUGAGAUACUGAAGGACCACAAAUUGCUGGUAUUGGUCCUGGGGAGUCCACUAACAUUACUGCAACACAAACUGCCUAACACCAGCUAGAGACACUCAGCACCUAAAAGGAACAUCUUUAUGCAUCUCCUGAGCAAAACUGCUAUCUGCUCUGAACCAAUCUAAGCUCUGCAUGAUAUCAUAACUUCAUUUUGUCUCAAUUCGCUUUCUAGCUUAUUACCACUGCCUUAGGAUUUAAUAACUGUUGCUCUUCAGUUGCAGGAAAUCAACAUAGUUCAAUCUUUCAUUGUUAGCUUAAUUUAGAAUAUGCUAUUUGCUUUGCUACUGUAGAAUUUUUAAUAGUUGAUUCACAUACAGUGUCUUUGCUUACACAGAAGUGCAUUGAAGUACUAUUAAAAUUAAUCCCAAGGUGAUGAAAAAUGAAGAAAUACAUAGCUAAAAUUAACAGUUCUUGGAACUGCUGUCUGAAUAUCACAGAAUACAGAGUAGAAAGGCAUACUCUACCCUUGUUCUGGGCAUGGAAUUCCUGUCAAAAUAGUCUGAAAUAUGUUUCAUAGCAUGAAAUAUCACACACUAAUGCCACAUCAAACACUUUUCUAAUGUCAUAUCUGCUUACAUACCAGCAGUAUCAGCAGUAUUGACUGGUUCUUCUGUGUCCUGUGGUCCAUAGGGUUAGGAUAGUUGAGGCAUGCUAGCUUUGGUAGUCAACAGCAUACAUAAGGAGUGAUAUUGCUAGCAUUAUGUCUUUUGACUCCCAAGUCUGAUUGUCUAUUUACUGCUCAUUCAAUUGUGGCUACUAACAUAAGCCUGAAACAAGACUUGAACUCAAGCCUUUGAGUUGUAGUAAAGCACAUCAACAGUUUUUCCACAAUGCUACUAGAAUCACAGUGUCCCGAGCAAUUCCUAUUACUACUUUCAUUUUGACUUUGUUCAUGUUUAAAGUUCUAAGAUUUUAAAUAUAAAAGGCAACUCCCUGUUUGAAUAAUCAGCUUGAAAGAAUUCAUAAAAAAAAUAUAACUACUUCCUGCUAAAAGAAUUUAAAGACUCAAUGCUGCUGUAAUAAAGCAGAGUCUGAAUGUCACGAUGGGGGAUCAAGGCCCAGUUAUACCAGGCACAGUGAACACAUGUAACCAAUAGGCAGUGACUAACCUGAAAAGCUUAAGCAACGCAGCAGCUUAUUUAUAAAUGUAAUUUGGUCUUAAUGUAAGUUAUGCUUUUAUAACGCAUGUGAAAAAUAUGCUUCAAUACUGUUUCAUAGAAGAGAUGAAAGGGUUUUUUUGUCAGUGUAAGCUUGGAGCAGACUUUUGUGAAUGAAGUUUAGAAUGGGCCAGUGUCACUGUCUUAAUGGUGGUAUGAGCUGAUCUAAUAUCACAACUAAUAAAAUCGAUUUUGUGGAGUGAUAGACAUUCUCUAGAAUAUAAAAGCUAACGUCAGCUUCAGUUAAAGUUCCAAUACUGUUUUUUUAAAUGAAGAUCAGUUCUUUUUCAUCCAGUUUCUAUGGCAAUGUACAGUAGAACCACACUAAUAUGAACAGCGAACCCUGACAGCAGGUGGAUGGGAGACAGACACAGAAAAGAAGUUAAAGCAAAGCUACAUCUAACCAAAGGAAAGAUGGAUUAAAUAGUAUCCAACAAAUUACAUGGCUACUGGGAAGAAUAAGAUCCCCAAAUGUCAAUCAAAUUAUAUUUUUUUCCAUGCAGCUGCAAUUGUUGUAAUAUUUCCUUAUGCAGAGGAAAAAAGGUCUGGAUGAAGAGUGCUUCGUGCUGUGCUGUUUUUUCACCCAAAGUAUAUUUUUUUUCAUCUGGCCAAAAACACUGAGAGGCAAGCCCAGACCUUUCCAGCCAAUUGAUUUCCUGUUUUCCUCCUGUCCAUUCACUUUUGUCUUUAGCAAUUGUUUUUAUAAUAGGGGAAAUUGCCCACAAAAUCCCCUAUAUAUUUAUAGAAAAUUAUAUAUGCAUGUAUGUAUUUGUCUAUAGAUAUGUGCAUGUACAUACAUACACACACACACAUUUUUUUUAUACACUGAUAUUAUACUGAGGCUAAGCCACAGCCAGUUAGGGAUCAUUUUGCUUUGCUGAGCACACAAGCUACAAUAACAUAUGGGAGACCUGAGGGCUAAACUAGAUAACCCUUGAGGUCCCAAUGACCUAGAGGUUGACUCCCAACCCACCUUUGAAGUCUCUAGGUUUUUUUCUUUGUCCUCCUCCUGGGUUUCCUGCUGACUGAAGAGGGUAACAGAUGGUGUUGGCCACUUGUUCUCAGAAGUGGUGCUAGGUACUCCUGGUCCAAGAACCGGUAAUAGAUCAUUGUGUGCCCUGAACUAGUUGAAUAGCCACAGGAUGAUGCAUGUGGCUAUGUCCAUCUGUCCACAGUGUGCACCAUCCACAUCAUGCCUUCACAGUGUAUUAAUCCAACACAAGGCAGUGCUGUUCUGAGGACUACCACACCGACUCCCAAUCCAGAAGGAGUAUAGAUGUGGCAACACAGUGUGGAUGAAUAAGCUGUGCUUCCCGCUAACAAGUCAAGGCCCCAUAAGGUUUCUGUGCUGCUGGUCAGCUUGGCCAAAGUGUUUAUGAUAGUUAUUAAGGUGGUUGUUUCCCUCCCAUACGAAAAAGUUACUUUUUUCCUACUUCUAA